rnacentral:lncRNA from 1 species
CAAGGCAAAACCACUUUCAUCAAAAAACUCUCAUUCUUCUCACUUUUUGUAUUAAACUACUCUUCUAUUUCAAAUUGGUCAUCUAAAUUAAACAAUAUUAAGGUCUCUGUGGGAUCGAUACUCACUUACCCUAUCUACAAGUUCUUAUCAAUCAAGAAAAGGGAAGUAAAUUUUUAAUUGACGGAUUCGGCACCUGUCACUCGAAUACUCCCACAUUGAGUAAGCCUCCUCAACCUUGCUCGUGCUUCACGAGCAGCAUUCUCGGAGUAGAAUUGCUUCUUCAAUUCUCUCUUGAAAUCAUUCCAUGUCUUCAUAAUGCAAAGGCCCUUCUCAAUAUCAGCAUGCCUCCUACGCCACCAAAUCAUAGCUGUGUCCACUAGGUAUAGGGAAGCAUGAUUAAUCUUAGUACCUCCUCAGUCACCCCUACGGCUCUAAAAUAUUGUUCUAGAUUCCAUAGAAAAUUAUCUAUCUCCUUGGCAUCCUUAAAGCCCUUAAAUGAUGGAGGUUUAAGGACAUCAACCUUAUGAGACGCCGAAGGAAAAGUACUUACCGAAGUGGAGAGGCUUGAUGCAACUCCUUGCACUACUGCCCUUUUCAACACCACCACUUUGUCAAUCACUUCCUUCACUCUAGCCAAAACCCGAUCCAACUCCUCAUGAAGAAAUUGAUUCUCCUCUUAUACUGCAGCCAAUUCCUCCACAAGAUUAUGGCGCAUGUUUUCCCCUUUACUAGCCAACUUAUCAAUGCCAGCAUUGAGGACACCUUGCACUUUACCACGGAACUCAUGCAUCCCAUUAUUGAGCUCCUCCAGGUGCAAUUCAAGCAUCUCAAAUCUCUCCUCAUCAUCAACAAGCUUCAACUCAAUCUUGGCUAACCUAAAGUCCACCUCUCCCAACUCAUCUCUCCUAUGAGCAAGUUCACGGGACUUAUCACGUGCGCCCUUCUUGCGGGUAAUAGCUUGUUGCAUUGUGGGAACAGGCUCCUCUCCACCAGGAUUGCCCACUUGAGCAUCUACAUCAAUUGGCUCGACCAUAGCUUCCACCAAGAGCAACCAGAAAGAGCAAUCAAAGCUCUGAUACCAACUUUCACGUCCCUUGCAAGUUAGCUUAUUAAACUGCCCAACUUCAAGGUCAACAUGCAGCACUUAGUCCUACCAAUGACCAAGAAUGGACUAAGUCAGUCUUACACCAACAAAGUAGCCUAAAUAAAUUAAUAGACUACUCAAAGUAGCAAGAUGAAAACUAGAUGGAAUAAUUAAAAUAAAAGAAGAAGGUUAUAUGGGACUAGAGUUGCAAAAGGAAACCUUUAUUCACAAAACACAAAGUACAAGGACCAAAGUAUAAUUUUACAAGGCUACAAAAACUCACAAGAGGAAUAAGGCUCUUCGCUGCACAAUGGACAUUUAGAGAAGUGUUU